rnacentral:rRNA from 1 species
GACGAACGCUGGCGGCGUGCCUAAUACAUGCAAGUAGAACGCUGAAGGAGGAGCUUGCUUCUCUGGAUGAGUUGCGAACGGGUGAGUAACGAGUAGGUAACCUGCCUGGUAGCGGGGGAUAACUAUUGGAAACGAUAGCUAAUACCGCAUAAUAGUAGAUGUUGCAUGACAUUUGCUUAAAAGGUGCAAUUGCAUCACUACCAGAUGGACCUGCGUUGUAUUAGCUAGUUGGUGGGGUAACGGCUCACCAAGGCGACGAUACAUAGCCGACCUGAGAGGGUGAUCGGCCACACUGGGACUGAGACACGGCCCAGACUCCUACGGGAGGCAGCAGUAGGGAAUCUUCGGCAAUGGACGGAAGUCUGACCGAGCAACGCCGCGUGAGUGAAGAAGGUUUUCGGAUCGUAAAGCUCUGUUGUAAGAGAAGAACGAGUGUGAGAGUGGAAAGUUCACACUGUGACGGUAUCUUACCAGAAAGGGACGGCUAACUACGUG